GAACUUAUAAUGGACCCCUUUAAGAAACCAGUGAGAAUGUUGCCCAUAAAGGGGGCCCCGAUCUCUCGACCAAUAAGUGUUUUUACAUUUGACGUGUUUAACCCCCCGGACGAUUCCGAUGGGUCAUCAACUCCAGACUCAGUGUUUGAGGCGGAGACCAGCCCAGCAAGAACUCCUCCAACUCCCGCCUUGAUUCUACCCUAUGAUUAUGUGAGCAGUGAAGACUCUGAUGAUGAAGCACAAGAACAUGCGGAUAACCGGGACACUAAUGACCAGGUCAGCGAGUCAAGUACAAGUGAGGACUCUGAUUCAGAGUCUGAAAGUUCAUGUGACGAUACCCAGCAGACUUUCGUGGACGAUGAGUCCACCAGCUCUUCUGGCGAGGAAGACAGAGAUGAUCCUUUUGAGUCAAAUGACCAGGGCGCGCAGGGCGGGUCGACCUCUGAGUCUGAGGAUGACCUCCCUGCAAUACUGAGGGCUGCACGCGAGACACAAAGUGACAGCUCUAGUGACAGUUCCGGCAACUCCCAUAAAAAAAGGCGAGUGCAGGAAGAAGAAAGUAGUCGCAUCUUGAAAACCCCAGCCCCCAUUUCUGGUAAUGGAAAAUAUAACUGGCCAUGGUUGGAUUGAAACUUUAUUCAAUAAAAAUUAAUAUACAAGUAAUGUUUUUGGGUUGUGUAAUGCUUUGGUUAUGUAUCCAGCAGAUUUUGUAUCCAUUGUUAGUUCACUGCUCCUCAUGGGGUUUCUAUCAAUCACCAGGUAUUUGGGGUUAGUGGCGCGGGAGAUGGCCACAUAAGCAUGGCUAUGCUGGAGGGUCUUAUAUUUUCCAAAGGCUACAGCAACCUUACUCAGAGACAUGCCCUGAGCCUUGACAAUCGUCAUAGCCAAUUUUGAACUUAUUCCAUAAUCUCCUGUGCAGCCCAGCACCAUUGAUGAGCCAUCUUCCAGUAUUUCUGUUAUUUUGUUAAAGUUGGUGUUCAAACAUGAUAUGAAUCCCAUGGAAUCUUGUACAAUGAUCAUUGGCAUAGUCUUUGACAUAUAAUCACUUCUCUGUGAGAACUGUUUGCCAAAACUAACUGACACGAAGGUGUACCCUUUGAGUUGGUAAGACUCCACGGUGGAGGCAUAAUCCAAUAACCCAGUUAUGACUGUCUCUGUAGAUGUAAAUUCCACAUCAUCCCUUAUAUGAAUAUUAGUAGUAUAUGUGCUGAACGGCUGCAAUAGAAAUUCUUCCCCAAAGUGGUCGGUGGCCACUUGGAGCCUAUCUAAAUAAACCUGUUUUAUAGCAGAGUACCAAUUGAUUAUCUCUGUAAUGGUGCUCUGACUGGGCAAGGGAGGCUGGGUAGCCAACAAAUAAAAUAUGUCCUCUGUUAAACCCUCCACAGUCUCAUCAUCUGACAGAAGCAGAGAGGGAAUAUUUUGUUCUUGAAUACUUGCCAGGUAUUUUUUGUCUCCAGUCUGAAUGCCAUAGGCAUAAAACUGGUAGAGGGAAUUAAAAAUUAAGGUUGACAGAAAAUUGUACACAUACUUUAUGUUGUCCCUGGUGUGAGAUUCUAAAAAGCCAUCAGAAUCCAACACCUGUUUAAAGGAAGCAUAGGUUCCAGAAUAUCCACAAAUGCACCUUUUGGUUUUACCAUUUAGACUGAUAAAACUAUUUUUGACAUAUUUUGCCUGAUAAGUUAUUCUUGUACAGUCCUCAGUAAUGUCUGUGUUUAUGAUGGUCAUAUCCUGGUCUACAAACUGAGAGUAGUUACUGGCCUUGAACAUAUUUUUCUUCAACCAGUCCAUUAUGGUAAUUUCUGUAAGAUUAACUUUUUCUUUAUAUUUUUGGAAAGUCUGAUUAUAGACCUCACAGACAAUUGGACAGGUAAACAACUUGACCUCAUUAGGUAGUCUGUGGGAUUUUGCAGUCAGGGCCAGAUGCAGGCUGCUUAAAAAUGUUUUAACUUCUUGGUGUGAUACAAAGAGGCGAGUCCAGCCAACAUACUCUAGUGGGUCGCAGAUUUUAGCAUAUGGAACAACAAAUCUAUCAAUAUAUUGCAAUACUUCGUCUGUAACUGGCAGGCCGUACUCCAUAACUUUUAGCAUAUGGGAGAAUUCAGUAUCCAGACAGCGCUUAUUAUUUAUAAAGAGGGCCCAGUUGUUGUCCACAUCGAUGUAUCUCCUCAAAACUUGAUUCUCCAUUAACACUGAUAGUACAUUAUCACAUUUUUGGAUCUCGUUCCUUUGGAGGCUGUGGUUGAAGAUGCUUUGGAUGGCUGAGGUCUGAGUUGGAGAUCCCACACAAACUAUACAGGGAACCUUUCCUUGUCUGUAAAGAGGGGUAGAAAGCCAACUGUUGUAGAACCAAUAAAAGAAAACAAUUGUUGUCAACAUGUAGGAAGGCAGAGUUCCAGCUUCGUCUAUAAUAAUUAUGUUUGUUGUCCACAACUCUGGCUGGCAUGACAGGCACAUAAGUUCAUAUAGCUCCUCAGACAUGUUCUGAUAUUGGUGCAUCUUUUUCUUCUGAGUUAUUUCCUGGAUAAUGUCUGCAACUACACUCCAAUACUUGGCCAGUUCAUACUGCUGAAGCUGCUCUAUUGAGGUGAUGGGAGUUUUGGGGACCUGUCUACAGAGCAUAUUGAUGUGUCUACUCUUGAAUCCAAAUGCCUGGAAAAUUGUGGGACAAUAUGACUUGAGCAUAGAAGACAGAUUCUGAGACGCGGCCACGGUAGCUCCAGUGAUCAGACAGUUUAACUGUUGAUGAAUUGCAGAGACGCUAGUACUUUUUCCCGCCCCAGCAGUCCCUGUGAUUAUAAAGGAUGUGAAUGGGAGCAGAUUCAUGCACUCUUCAUCUAGAGGGUCAUAUUGAGAAUCAUACCAACACAUAUCAGGGAUAUUUGUUGUAACAGUAUUAGAUAGGUCUUCAAUUCUGGUGACUAUCUGGCGAAUUUUGGCAUCUGAGGUCAUGUUCAUGAUGAAUCUGUCAGAGAGUGCCAUGCUUGUCCACCCAACCAAGAAUUCGAUGCAGUUGUUUGAAUCCCUGAAAGGAAAAUAUGUUUAUGUGAAUGGACAGUCUGUGUACACUAGUCUAAGGUCAUCGGGGAUGUUCUCCAAACAAUUAUUUCUUCAUCUGUAUAGAUUUGCUCUAAACUCAUGCACUUAUGAGACCCUGUUUACCAGCUGGGCCAACUUUCACAAUACCAUGAGAAAAAAAUGGAAAAAGGGAACUACAUCAGAGGAUUUUCUAGCAUCAUCAUAUGCUUCUUGGGUAGCAACACUUAAAUUAACCCUGGAGAGGCUGGCAUUACCACUAAUCAAUCAACUGCAAUAUUCCAGAAACCUCAUUUCUUAUGAGAGAUACAUAGACUGGGUAACAACCCUCGGGGUGGUCCCAGUAGCACAGGUUCCUGAAAACAAAACAACAAUCCAACAUUUGGAGGACAACUUAAAGGUACUAGUGAACACCUCAGGCCCUGGUGACAAAGUCAUAACUGAAAUGAUCUCUAGCCUGAUACAGGAGAUGAAAGUGAUCCUCAAAACAUUAAGUUCACUGUACAUACCUGAUUACUCAGAAGUCUCAAUACAUAAAAAUUUGGAAUCUGGUGAGUGGUUUGGAAUAUACAAAUCCAAGAGAAUACCAGUAGAAGUAAUGGCCGCUCCAGUUCUUUGUAAAGAAGGAUAUAUGUUUGACAGCUGUGUCCAAAGGGUCUUUCCCACUGUUAUGCAGUGUUACCGGACGCAGGAACAUGCAAAACUCUGCCAACUGCUAAACACCAUUCCUGUUAAAACAAUUGUGGGAAACGCGCAAUCUCCUGGUUACAAGGAUAUCCUGGAACAUUUGGAAAAGUCCAACAGCAAAACAGACCCUAAAAAGGAACUGUUGAACCUUUUAAUUAAUUUGGCAGAGAAUAAAACAGUCUCUGGAGUCACUGACGUGGUUGAAGAUUUUAUCAGUGAUGUGUCAAACAAUUUAAUUGAUAGGAAUAAACUUUUUGGCAACAGCAAUGAAACCACGUGUGCUGGAUUAAAAAAACAGGUCUCCAACUCUGUUUUCAAAUGCUUGACUAAGCAGAUAAAUGAGCAAUUUGACACAAUAGCUGACCUUAAAAAGGAACGAGAGCUGUAUCUGGCAAGACUCCAGACGGUUGAGUCACACCUACUAAGAAUAGCACGCAACGAAAAGAGUAUUCAUGAUGUGGAUGUUAACCUUCUCACUGCAGACACUAUGGAAAGUCUCUCUGAGGUGAGAGACUUGAAUUUGUUGUCCUCAACAACUGAAGUGCCUAAUGGAAAAAGUGUUCUAAAUAGCUUUUUUUCUCAGUAUGUUCCCCCCUUUAGAGAGCUUGGAAAAGAUCUAGCAAACCUCUGGGAGAGUGAGUUAAUGAGUACCUUCAAACUUGUUCCCGAGGUGGAUCCCCAAGGAAAGAUGAUAUGUGUUAGGUACACCCCAGACACUGUUUCACUUUUACUUGGACCAUUCACUUAUGUAAUAACCAAGCUUACAAGCAUGGAUUUGAUCAGAGAUGAUAUGACAUCACAAUCUGUCCAUGGAUUGGUUGAUAUAGUGUACAAGGAGAGCAGACUGUUAGUCUAUAUAACUGACAUUGGCUCCAAGUUGGGCACAGAAGUCCAAUUAUCCACGGACGGAGUAGAGGUGCUGCCACCAUGAUCUCUUCAAACAUUAGAGAAGCAAGAACUGUCAUCCUUCCCAGGCUGAUGUUGGAAAUAACAUCCAAUGGGACUCUUACUGUGGCCUCACAUACUCCAAUUUUUCAGAAAUUAUCUCUCCUGGAUCUACCCAGCCUCACCGCUCAUCUGAAAACCAAGCUAUCAGGAUCAAUGUUUAAAGGCUUUCUUUUUGCCACAUUGUGUGAAACAGAGGAUCAUGUCACGACCUUGGAUAUGCAUCCACACGUUUUUGAGAAAAGGCUGGUUUUAUACAACCCCAGAAAUACCUGUAACAAGGAGCUAUGUGCACUGAUUUCCAUGGUGGAAAACUUAAUGGAUUGUGACCCCAAAUUGCCUUUGUCUAUUUAUAUGAGGGGGAAAAGAUUGUUUCAGAAGAAUCCCGGUAAAGAUUCCUGUUUUCUCUUUAAGGGAUUGUCUACUUUGAUAUCCACCCACUUUGCUGUUUAUCACCCAAAUUUCACAGUCAAUGAUGAAUUACUACUGCCUCCCCUCUUGGCCUACAAGAUGCAUUCAACCAUUGAGGGAAUUGAUGAAGUAUCCAAGGGACUCCUGAAAGCAAUUUACCUGGACUCUUACAGAAUGGACAAUAACAUAGAUGAUUUUCAAAACCCAGCGGGGACAUUCACACUUCUGUGCUUGCCCACCAUUUUUACUAAACACCUCACUGUCCCAAAUGUUCUAAUCCUGAUAAAACGCGCAGGGUUGAUGUAUGAGGCCAUAGACAACAUUAUUUUAUGAUAAAUUUAAUAAAGUUUCAUAAUUUGACAAU
rnacentral:tmRNA from 1 species